UACGCAGGCGGCUAUGCAAGACAGAUGUGAAAUCCCCGGGCUUAACCUGGGAACUACAUUUGUGACUGCAUGGCUAGAGUCCGUUAGAGGGGGGUGGAAUUCCACGUGUAGCAGUGAAAUGCGUAGAGAUGUGGAGGAACACCGAUGGCGAAGGCAGCCCCCUGGGAUGAGACUGACGCUCAUGUACGAAAGCGUGGGGAGCAAACAGGAUUAGAUACCCUGGUAGUCCACGCCCUAAACGAUGUCGACUAGUUGUCGGGUCUUUACAGACUUGGUAACGCAGCUAACGCGUGAAGUCGACCGCCUGGGGAGUACGGUCGCAAGAUUAAA
rnacentral:rRNA from 1 species